UAAGGUGAAUCGGGUAGUUCCGAUUUUUACUCCACCUUCUAAACGAUUACAGAAAUAUCGAAUAGGGUUUUCGAAUCAAACUCACAAAUCUUUCAUCUUCCUCUCCGCUGCGGUUCGAUAUAGGUUCAAAGACGACAUUAUCAAAAAUCUUGCAGUUUUCGACAAGAAAUUCAAAGCGAUUUGAAGAAUUGAGGGCGACAACUGGAUAGAUAGUUCGAUUUGCACUUUCGGAUAAACUGCUGCAUCUCUCGGUCCUUUGAAGGUCGAUUUUUUUUAACAACAAAGAAAGCUUCAUAUUCAGGUGAAGCUUUAGAACUGAAUGUGAUAGUUCUGUUGUGCGCCACGCCUGCUGCCCAUCUCGCUGCUCAAGACUAGGAUCUCAGUUUACAAAUUUGUUGAACCAUUGGAUGCUAAGAUUCAAAUAUUUUAUUUUUUGUAUUGGUUUUUGUUCAUUAAAGAAUUGUGUUUGUUCAUCAAAAUAUUGUGUUCUGUUCAUUAAAAACCACCGCCGCGCCCUUUCGCCUCGCCUCGCCUCAGC